UUUUUUUUUCUCUUCUGGCUCAGUCUUCCAAUAUUUGUACUGCAGACAUAUACUACAUGAGCAGCUACAACUUAUUUGUCUUCUAAUGUAAACUGUGAAGUUUAUCAGUCCAGCAAUACAAAUACAUUAAUUAUUUUCCUAGCAUAUUGCCAGAGGAUGAUGACUUUAUUUCUGGCCUGGUCCCCUUUUCCUCUCUAGCAUCCAAAACAAACAGGAUUAUUUGAAAAGUCAAAUUUUGAUUUUCUUUCUUCCUUUAUAUAAAAUAAAAAGACAGCAUAAAUAUUUAUAUCUUCUUUUAGCUUCAGAUUUUUUUCCUGCAUUCUUCUAGACUAGGUUAGGGAUUUUUACAGGGAUUUUAAAGCCUUUGCUUUAUAGAUUGACCUAUCAUUCUGUGAUAUAAAUUGAUUUCAUAACUUUAUUUUAUAUCCAGUCUAAAGGUUGCUACUUGAUGGAGCAGGGCUUCAUGUCAGCUCUGCUUUUUUUUUCUUUCUUUCUGUUUUUCUAGAAUGAGCCUAGUUUCCUUCAGUAGGAUACUUCUAGAAGAAAUCACAUGAAAUGGCUACUUAUUGGGUUUCCUUAGAUCUAACAGUUUGGAAAUACUUUAGAACCACAUUCUGUACUCACUUGUAUUUGAUACAAUGCUGCUAAGAAUAAGUAUAGCCUGUUUAUUUUGGGGGGACUGUUGUGGAGUGGGCAGUAGUUUAUAUGUUGAAUCAGAGGUAGGCAUUGUGGGUAGAGGAAAUCUUUCUCACCAGGUCUGGCAAACCAACUGGCAUCCUCUUCUUUGCAGUUGUUUGUGAGGUUUAGCAUCAUACAGGGGGAGCAAAAAAGCUCUUAUGUGAAAACCAACACUGACUAAGCACGGAGACUAUGAAAGAUGGAACAGAUGAUUGUCUUCGUUACUUUUCUGUCACUGUGAUAGCAUAUCUGAUACAGCGCUGGAGAGGUGGUUUAGCAGUUAGUGGUACUGGUCCUUCUUCAUAGGACCAGAGUUCGAUUCUCAGAAACUACGUGGUUCACAACC
rnacentral:lncRNA from 1 species